GUGCUUUCUUUGGUAGCACAUAUAUUAAAAUGCGAAUGAUAGAGAAUAUUAGCAUGACUUAGAGCAAGGAUGACAUGCAAAUUCAAGAAGCAUUCCAUUUUUUG